rnacentral:lncRNA from 1 species
CAUCUAUGUAUAUACUUUUAGGAAAGUGAAAAUCCUUUAUUAAUGGCAAGUUCACUUAUUUUACUUUAAAUUUUCUUUGCAGUACUGGAAAUUACACACUGGGUUUCACUCAUGCUGUGUGUGGACUCUGAAUCAAGCUGUACAUAUAGCCCCCAAUAUUUCCUCUUAUUUUAAAAUAAUACACAAAACAUUAAAAUAUAUAAUGAGGCAACAUGAUAAUUUAAUAUAUGUUUUAACUUUGUUAUGCUUUAAUUAAGAUAAACAUAUGUAUUGCCUUAAAUAUUUAUUAUUUUUUAUGGUAUAAGUUUUAACAUUUCCUUGCAUGUUGAAAUUUGUGGUACAUUAUUGUUAUCAAUAGCAACACAAUAGCAUACCAGAUAUUCUUCCUCCUACCUCACUUAUAAUGCUGUCUUCAUUGGUUAACUACCUAUCUGACCUCUUGUAGUCACUCUUAUACUCUCAAACUUCUGUGAGAUUGGCCUUUUGUAGUUAUGGCAGUAACAAACCGUCCAUCCACAUUGUUUUAUAACCUUGUUGCCUGCAUGUAUUUUUGUGUAUUACAUGUGUGCCUGGUGCCGAUGGAGGUUAGAAGAGGACACUGGCUGCUCUAGGACUGGAGAUACACAUAGUGGAGCCCAUGGAGGCCAGAAGACAGAUCCCCUGGAGCUGGAAUUAGGUAUGGUUGUGAACUACCAUGUGAGUGCUGGGAACUGAAUGCCGUCCCUUCCAAGAACAGGACUGAACUCAUAUCAUCAGGGUUGGAGACAAGUAUACUUACUGACUGAGCUAUCUCACUGGCCUUUUGGUGAGUACUUUAAUAUAAAG